GACGAACGCUGGCGGCGUGCCUAAUGCAUGCAAGUCGCACGCACGGAGCUUGCUCCGUGAGUGGCGCACGGCUGAGGAACACGUGGGCAUCUGCCCGACCGUGGGGGAUAACGGGGCGAAAGCCUCGCUAAUCCCGCAUACGCUCCCGUGCAAACGGGAGGAAAGCUGCAAAGCGCGAGUCGGAGGAGCCUGCGGCCCAUCAGGUCGUUGGUGUGGUAACGGCGCACCAAGCCGAUGACGGGUAGCUGGUCUGUGAGGACAACCAGCCAGACUGGGACUGAGACACGGCCCAGACUCCUACGGGAGGCAGCAGCAAGGAAUUUUCCCCAAUGGGCGCAAGCCUGAGGGGGCAACGCCGCGUGCGGGACGACGGCCUUCGGGUUGUAAACCGCUUUUGGUGGGGACGAUGGUGACGGUACCCGCCGAAUCAGCCCCGGCUAACUCUGUGCCAGCCGCCGCAGUAAGAC
rnacentral:rRNA from 1 species